rnacentral:rRNA from 1 species
GACGAACGCUGGCGGCGUGCCUAAUACAUGCAAGUAGAACGCUGAAGAGAGGAGCUUGCUCUUCUUGGCUGAGUUGCGAACGGGUGAGUAACGCGUAGGUAACCUGCCUGGUAGCGGGGGAUAACUAUUGGAAACGAUAGCUAAUACCGCAUAAAAUGGAUUAUCGCAUGAUAAUCCAUUGAAAGGUGCAAAUGCAUCACUACCAGAUGGACCUGCGUUGUAUUAGCUAGUUGGUGGGGUAACGGCUCACCAAGGCGACGAUACAUAGCCGACCUGAGAGGGUGAUCGGCCACACUGGGACUGAGACACGGCCCAGACUCCUACGGGAGGCAGCAGUAGGGAAUCUUCGGCAAUAGACGGAAGUCUGACCGAGCAACGCCGCGUGAGUGAAGAAGGUUUUCGGAUCGUAAAGCUCUGUUGUAAGAGAAGAACGAGUGUGAGAGUGGAAAGUUCACACUGUGACGGUAUCUUACCAGAAAGGGACGGCUAACUACGUG